AGAUAACCAGUCCACGCCCGCCUUUCUUGCCGCCGUUUACAGAUUUCUCCUGUUCUAACCUGUUCUGUUCUGUUCUGUUUAACCUGUUCUGUUCCUGUUCUGUUAGUAAAUCUACGUUGUAAAGAACAGCAGUGGCCUACCCCGUGAUCCACGGCGUAAAGAUUCUUAGACAAGCCACAAGGUAACCAGUCCACGAACUAUAACGCGGUCUAGCCUAUAGUACUGCUCAAGAGUCAAGGGGUCGUUGUCGUAUCACUAUCAGAUAAACAGAAUCAUCGAAAAACCGAUUGCCAUAAGCAAUGGUUAAUGGGGCAUGCACUGAAUUAGAUGAAGAGCCUCAGCCUCAGCCACAGAUGAGAGUGAAGAUAGGUUCUUCUCCCACUACUACUGUCACCACACCCCUAAUGGGUCAGCAGCAAUCAGCCGAGGCAUAUUUAGCGAAACACAAAAUUCUUCAAAGAUUUCAGGAUAUGAUGUCAUUACUGGUUGUUGAACAGCCUGACGAUCCAAUUGGAUACCUAUAUGACAAUCUGUCGGAUGUAUGGAAGCAGUGAGAACAGCCAACAGCUAACAUAAGUUGCGAGUAGUAUUUCACUUCUACUAAAGUAAUGUGUAUAUAUUACUGUGUAUAUAUGUAAUAAAAUGUCCUGUUCAAUUUGUAUUCAAAUAGCACAUUUGUAUUCAAGUUUAUGUAGUGUACUGUAAAAACUUAUAGUAGCAAUUACAUAAUAAAAACACCAAAAGUACUGAU
rnacentral:lncRNA from 1 species